rnacentral:rRNA from 1 species
AUUGAACGCUGGCGGCAUGCCUAACACAUGCAAGUCGAGCGGCAGCGCGGCGCUCGGGCUGGCAGCGAGCGGCGGACGGGUGAGUAAUGCAUAGGAACCUGCCUAGUCGUGGGGGAUAACACUCCGAAAGAAGUGCUAAUACCGCAUACGUCCUGAGGGGGAAAGCGGGGGAUCGCAGGACCUCGCGCGAUCAGAUUGGCCGAUGUCGGAUUAGCUAGUUGGUGGGGUAAAGGCCUACCAAGGCGACGAUCCGUAGCUGGUCUGAGAGGAUGAUCAGCCACACUGGGACUGAGACACGGCCCAGACUCCUACGGGAGGCAGCAGUGGGGAAUUUUGGACAAAGGGCGCAACCCUGAUCCAGCCAUGCCGCGUGAGUGAAGAAGGUCUUCGGGUUGUAAAGCUCUUUCAGUAGGGACGAAGCGCAGUGAGCUAACAUCGUCCGCUAUUGACGGUACCAGAAGAAGAAGCACCGGCUAACUACGUG